UUAUUCUCUACUGUGUGUGUGUGUGUGUGUGUGUGUGUGUGUGUGUGUGUGUGUGUGUGUGUGUGUGUGAGCAUCUUGUCAAGUCCAGGUGCUUACUACACCCGGGACAGCUUCAGAGAUGCGACCUCCACGUGCUCCAAUCUCCUCUCACAGACAGACACUUCUGCUGGACUUGUUCCUUCUCAUCUGUCCUCAGAUGGUUCCACAGACCCUGGACAGCAAGGAAACAGUCAUCUCCCUAAGACUGGGCCAACAUUCCCAUCCCCAUUCUUCUAGGUUCCCUAGAGACGCGUCACCCUGAAGCCAGCAGGAAGUAGCUAGAGAUUACAACAACCCUAUUCCUGCACCGCCAUCACCUCUUACAAUUUUUUUCUUUUUUAAUUAAACCAAAAUGGGGGAAUGUUAGCAUUUUGUCUAAGCUCAGCUCCACAGUUACCUGGCAACAGCCAGGUAUGCCUGACUCACUAUAAAAGGGGCUGCUUGCCCCUCCACUGUAGUUCUAUCUCGCUCUUUCUCUUCUUGUUCCCACUCUGUCCCCUCACCCCUUUCCCUCUCCAUGUGCUCAUGGCCUUCCUUUCUCUCUAUUCUCUCUCCCUCCCUCCCUCCCUCCCUCCCUCCCUCCCUCCUUCCCUUCCUCUUCUAGUACCCUCUCAAUUCUCCUCCCCAUGCCCUAAAUAAACUCUUUUCUUAACUCUAUUCUAUACUAUACUGUCCUGUGGCUGGUCCCUCAGGGGAAAGUGAUGCCUCAGCAUGGGCCCAUGGAGGCACCCAUUUCCCCCAUACCUUACCACACAUUCACCAAAACAUAGUCCUCCUCUCUUUAUCUUUUUAUAAACACAACACCACCAGCCUUCCUGGUUUUCUCAGGAUUAUUUGGAACAAAGUAAAUUCACCCUGUGAGCAUCCAGGUUCCGGCUAGAUGAUUCCAGCCUCCAGCCUGGGCAGCAUCCUUGGACUAAUGAAGCCCUUGACAAGCUUGAAACCUGCCCCAGUGAUGUCCCCUCAUUCCUUUGCAACCCAACUGAUCAAGAGGCCCACAGCUCCAAUACAGAUGCAUCCCGCAGGGGCUACCCAUUGGAAAAACAUCUGCAGUAGCCUUGGCAAGUAUCAGAUUCUCUCCAGAGACCUGCCACGUGGUAUUUGGGAAUCCCUGAAUCCCGGAAUGCUUUUCUCCACUAACACCCAGCUUUGUCUCCAGGGCCAUCUCUCACACGGGCAUUAAGCUCUUCUGAUAUCAUGGAGGUUUCCAAGGAUUUAUUUCCAUCCUGUCCUCAUCUGCUUCAGCUUGUCUGCCCCAGAAUGUACCUACUUGGAUUCCUGGUCUCAAGAACUUUCAGCUGGGUCUGGUCAAGACAAGCACAUCAAGCUACAACAUUUGCUUCAUUUUCCCUACCCCUGACCCAAGGAUAUCUCAACACCCAUGUACAGCUUGAAGAAGUUAUUGAAGAGUCAUUGCCCUGAUUCCCUGGAUUUUUAGGGGGUUGAAAGUAGUUAUUCUAAAGUUGUUUUAUGCAGAAUUUAGAAAUAGUUGUAAUUUAACAGGGGGAAAUUAGCUAGAUUGAGUUGUGCAGCCAUAAUCUCAUUUGGUAACUAAGCUAAAAUCAUAUCUUUUCUUUGUUAUAGAAUUUAUUUGUUUAAAAAGUUUAAAAAUACAAGGUUUAGAGCCAGUCCUUCUAUUUGCUUUUUUUUUUUCCGGGGCUGGGGACCGAACCCAGGACCUUGCGCCUCCUAGGCAAGCGCUCUACCACUGAGCCAAAUCCCCAACCCCCCAGUCCUUCUAUUUGAUGCCAUUACGAACUACUCAGUUGAUUACACAUGUGACUUAAGGGCCAAAUAGCAAAUGAGUGGCUCUGAGUUUGUGAGAAUAAUUUCAAGAUAAUAUAUUACGAUAUAAGGACAACAGUCCAGAUUACCUUAUAUAGGUAGAUGUUUUUCAAAAACAUCAGAAAUCCACAAAAUAUGAAAUUUAAAGUUAGUUAUCUUUUGUUGAGACAUAUCUGCUCCUAGCAGUUCCCCUUUGGUGGAUUUAACGAAGAAAAUGAACAUCACUACCUCCAGGUGAGGUAAUACUUUGUGGCUAGGCAGCCACUGGGCAGAAACUGCCUGUUUCAUCUGCAGACUGCUGCUGUCCAAAAAGGGACACUUUAUGCAGAAUAGUUGUUGACUGAUAAUCUCUACGGAGCCAGAAUUAUCAGCCCUUUGAGGUUUCUGCAUUUCAAGGGUGUCAGUUGAUUUGGGGCCAGAAGGCUGAAGACUUGCACUCACAUGUUGCUAACAGAGGACUGUGCUAGUGGGAUUUGUCGCUACAACCUCUCAGUUCUGGAAGCUGUGUUAGGCUUCCUAUGUGUAUAGAUAUUUGGCCAUUCUUAUAUUUCUGAUGGUGUUGAAGACUGAUUAUAGUCUUAUAGCAUAUCAGGUUGUUUAACUCUGAAAAUACAUAUUUUAUUAGAUGGUUAUCAGAUAGUGUACAAGCUAGCCAGGAUAUAACAUAGAUUGUAAGCCUUUCUUAAGCUGGAAUGGAUAACUAAAUGUUCUGUUUAACUGAUAAAGUGUUGGACUGGGUGUUAGAUAAUAUUUUAUGCUUUUAAUUACAAAAUGAUAAUAGUUGUACUCAGUUUAUAUUUGAGGGGAAAAGUUUUUUUAAUUAGGCAAAAAGGGUGAAAUGUAGGAUGAUGUCAUACGGGUGAAGGCAGGUACAAGAUAGAAUGAGGCCUGUCAUUGGAUGAGAAGGAAGGAUGGGUGGGAGAAAAGUUUGGGGAAGAGGAGGAGACUGGAACAGAAGGAAACUGGAGGAGAAGCAGGGGAGAGAACAUGGAGGCUGACGUUAAGAUUCCACUCUGUGUAUUUACAGGUUGUUACAAAUAUUCUUAAGGAAUGGAUGUGUACAGGCCUUUGUAUGUUUAGGUGGGCAAUUAUAUCUUAUCAAUUGGAUUGGAGGUUAUUGUGUUGUGUGUUCUUUGAUGUGGCGAUUGAAGUUCAAGAGAGUAUGUGGUGGCAGGACACUGGGCUGCCACGGAAUUGGGAUGUAUAUUUCUGGCAUGGUGGCAACCUGCCUUGGGAACCAGAUGGGUAGAGAGAUUGCUGCCAGGCUCAGAGAGAAGCCUUCAGCAAUGUGAAGUGGAAUAGAGCAAAGCGGGUGAGAGGCUUUGCUGACUGUGAUUAAGACAUCUAUCAGAGAUCUUGAGGCACUGCAGUGCCGGAUCUAGUGUGGGGUAAAAGACAACCUUUUUUUUUUUUUUUUUAUUAUUUCACAGCAACAGAUGAGCAAAUAAAUUAUUUUUUUCCUUUUCUUUUCCACUCUUUAUACAAAGCUGCUAAGGUGACCAAAUCCUCUUUAUGACUGAGCCAUUUUCUGCAUAUAAACAUAAUACUGGUUUUCUCGACAUGAUCACUCAAAGCUAUUGAAUUAUUUCAAAAAGGAUUCUGAAAUUUCUCCAACCCUUCUCUUAGGGUUGGGUGGGCUGCUAACAUUAUGUGUGGGUGUGCUCGCCCCUCAGUGCAUGGAUCCUGUAUACAAGGACAUCACCCUAGAUGUCCUUGGCAGAAGUAUUUGGUCCAAGGAGCAUGAGGAAAUAAAAGCCUUGCAGGGCUGCAAGAAAAGAAUCCCGAGUUAUGUUAGCUGAAGGGAAAGAGAGAGGGAUCCGUCUGGAAUGAGGGAGCAGUCGAACUUAGGAGUUACCAAUGAUUAUGGGAGACUGGAAGAGAGAUGAGAGAUUAUGACAAGAGCUGGGAAGGUGGAGACAUUCUCCUGUAGUUAUCUGACGACGACAGCUUCAGGCUCUGUCAAUCUAUGUCAUGUUUCUUCUGACCAUAGCCUAUUAUGCAAGUUACAUCUGUGAGGUAAAUAUGAAAUAAAUUUAGAUUAUUGUAGGCUUCCCAGUCCCCUCUGAGAACUCACAAGGUCUAGAUCCCUGGGAAAUGCUCACAGUGCAACUCCAAGACCACGUUCCUAAUUCAAGGCGUUGAGUGAUGGGCUAAGAGAUUGUCCUAGACUUCUAGAGCACCCUUCUGGUCCUCCUGUGAUGGGUGACUUCGCUCUGAUCUCCACAGAUAAAGGAUGCAUAAAGGAGCAUUUACGUUUCAAAUAACUUUCCUCCUUUGUAUCUCUCCUCGUGUGAUUUCUACAAAGCUGACUGGUGAUAUCCACUCACCCAUUUUAAAAAGUAAUAUGUUACUCUCUUUUUCUAAAUGUUUUUAAUUAAAAUAGAAUUGCAUCACUUCCUCCCUCCCAUUCCUCACUCCAGGCCUUCCCAGAUACCCUCUCACUCCCCUCACUAUUAAGUCAAGAGCCUUUGUUCUUUUCUUUGAUUUAAGCGUUAAAUAUGUGUAUAUAAAUAUACAUAAAUAAAACCUUCUGCGUUUGGUCUUGUUGUGGUGCAUAUGGUUUCAAGGCUGAUCACUCUGCAUUGGACAGCCAAUAAGGAGGCUCAUCCCUGGGAGGGGGGGAACUCUCCUUCUCCCAGCAGCCAAUAGUUCUUUGUCUAGGGGGUAGGACCCAUGAACUAUUCCACCUUCCUUGUGAACUUGUCCCUUGAGAGUGCCAUUGUUCCAGCCCUGCCUAUUCAGCCAUUUCUAGAAGACACUGCUUCUCAGGAGAUAUCUAGGUACUCUAGCUCCUACAGUCUUUUUUUUAAAGUCACAAUUCUAUACCUAUACAGGACUCCAGAAAGGAAUAACAAAGUAUCAUCUCAGGUUCCCUAGACCUCCUCUAAAAUCCAGGCAACAUUGUUACUCUGAGCUUCUUUGGUGCCCAAGGCGUCCCAGUGAUCCUAGUAUGAUAAAUAAGAAAGCAAGAGAACUGGCUUUGGUGAGGUGGGGACCAAGAAAGAGGAAAGGAGGGCCUGCCUGGAGGGCUGAGGGAUAGGCAUGCAGAGAGGUAGGGCUCUCUGCACGGCCGGCCAGCGUGGGCAGACAACCUGGGAGGUGGAGAUACCAUCACCGAGUCAGGAAGAACAAGAGACGUAAGUACCUGGUUCUGGGCCAGAGAAGCAAUGGCAGACGCUAAGAAUCCAGGAACCCUUCUGGCUGAACACAGUCCCAGCUUGGUACCCUCUGUCCCUUCAAGGACCUUUGUUCUCUUCAGGCACAGAAUGUGUGCUUUGCUCUAUUGAGUUUUAAUCACAUCUUAAUACCCAGGUGACUGUCUUGUUGUUGAAGGAGAGGCAUGGGACUAGAGACAAGUUGGAGCAUAGAUGGUCACUGUCAGCCUCAUGAGACCCCUGAAUGGCCUUCUACUGCCCUGGGCCCCUGCAUUGUAGACUGGGGACCACCCACAGGCGUCUACUCCUUUUGCCCCUACAGGCCUAGCAGGCAGACUUCAGGGCUUAGGACCGAGUUUGUCAUUGCUUUCCCUGUGGUGAUGUGGGUAGAAUGAGGGCCCACCACACAGUGCUUAUCCGCAUACUGGUCUUGGGAACUAGUCAGAGAUCCUAUGAUAAUUUUUUCAAAAUCUCUCUCUCUCUCUCUCUCUCUCUCUCUCUCUCUCUCUCUCUCUCUCUCUCUCACACACACACACACACACACACACACACACACACACACAUAUGCUUUGAAAGUUUGCUCAAAUAAUAAUAAUAUAAAAUUUGCAGGGAAAUGGGUAAAGUAGUUUAUUAAAUGAGAUGGCCCGGACUCAGAGAGAGAGAAGAAUCCCACAUUCUCUCGAAUAUGCUUAGUCCAGGGAGUGGCACUAUUAGAAGGUGUGACCUUGUCAUUGUGGGUCUUGUCUUUACGACCCUCAUCCUAGCUCCCUGGAAGCCAGUCUUCUCUUAGCCGCCUUCAAAUGAAGAUGCAGAACUCUCAGCUCCUCCUGCACCCUGCCUGCCUGGAUGCUGCCGUGCUCCUGCCUUGAUGAUACUGGACUGAACCUCUGACCCUGUAAGCCAGCCCCAAUUAAAUGUUGUCCUUAUAA